rnacentral:rRNA from 1 species
UACGGAGGGUGCAAGCGUUAUCCGGAUUCACUGGGCUUAAAGGGUGCGUAGGUGGGUUGGUAAGUCAGUGGUGAAAUCUCCAGGCUUAACUUGGAAACUGCCAUUGAUACUAUCAAUCUUGAAUACCGUGGAGGUCAGCGGAAUAUGUCAUGUAGCGGUGAAAUGCUUAGAUAUGACAUAGAACACCAAUUGCGAAGGCAGCUGGCUACACGAAUAUUGACACUGAUGCACGGAAGCGUGGGGAUCAAACAGG